rnacentral:rRNA from 1 species
AUGGCUUCCUCCACGCCUUACCUUGUCCUACUCUUGUGCCUCACCACUUUCCUGCAGGCAUUGCUUACUGCGGCAAAUUACCCACCGCCGCCGCCCCCGCCGUUUGAGCUGCCGGAGUCCGAGGUGAGGGAGAGGUUCUCCAAGUGGGUGGUCAAGUACUCAAAGCACUACUCGUGCGAGCAGGAGGAGGAGAUGCGGUUCCAAGUGUUCAAGAACAACACCAACGCCAUCGGCCAAUUCGACCAACAGAAUCCUGGCACCGUCAUCGGUCGCGGGUUCCAGCCAGGUGGGUCGCAGACCAACAGCAGGGGCGGGGUCCGUAUGAACAGGUUCGGCGACCUCAGCCCCAGGGAGGUCAUCCAGCAGUUCACCGGGCUCAACACCACCAGCUUGAAUGCCACGUCACCCACCUACCUCCCCUACCACUCCUUCAAGCCCUGCUGCGUUGACUGGCGCUCCAGUGGCGCUGUCACCGGCGUCAAGAAUCAAGGCACUUGUGGUAAGUUGUCAAGCUAUACCUUCUUGCAGAUUUAG